rnacentral:tRNA from 1 species
GCCGGGUUGCGCCUGCGUACCGGCG